GACGAACGCUGGCGGCGUGCCUAAUACAUGCAAGUAGAACGCAGUAGCGAACGGGUGUGUAACGCGUAGGUAACUGCCUCAUAUCUGGGGAUAACUUUUGGAAAUGAUAGCUAAUACCGCAUACUGUGCGAUGGACCUGCGUUGUAUUAGCUAGUUGGUUCGGUAAAGGGUAACCAAGGCGACGAUACAUAGCCGACCUGCGAGGGUGAUCGGCCGAAGGGGGAGUGGGACACGGCCGAGACGCCGACGGGAGACAGCAGAAGCGGAACUUGGGCAAUGGACGGAAGUCUAGCCGAGCAACGCCCGGGGAGUGAAGAAGGUAUUCGGAUCAUAGAGCUAUAUUGUUAGAGAAGCGUUAACUAUCCAGAAAGAGACGGCUAACUACGUGCCAGCAGCCGCGGUAAUAC
rnacentral:rRNA from 1 species